rnacentral:ncRNA from 2 species
CUCUUAUCAAGAGCAGGCAGAGGGUAAUGGCCCGAUGAAGCCCAGCAACCGACCGUAAUACCGUUGUGAGACGGGGCGCAUUUUGCGCCGAGAUGAAAAUCUUCUAAGGCACGGUGCUAAUUCCAUCAGAAAGGUAACUUUCUGAAAGAUAAGAG